UCGUCGAUAUCUCAGAUGGUAGAGCUGUGGAUUGUAGAUCCAUAGGUCGCUGGUUCAAAUCCGACUCGACGGAA